rnacentral:rRNA from 1 species
UACGUAGGUGGCAAGCGUUGUCCGGAAUCAUUGGGCGUAAAGCGCGCGCAGGCGGCCUUUUAAGUCUGAUGUGAAAGCCCCCGGCUUAACCGGGGAGGGUCAUUGGAAACUGGGAGGCUUGAGUGCAGAAGAGGAAAGUGGAAUUCCAAGUGUAGCGGUGAAAUGCGUAGAGAUUUGGAGGAACACCAGUGGCGAAGGCGACUCUCUGGGCUGUAACUGACGCUGAGGCGCGAAAGCGUGGGGAGCAAACAGG